rnacentral:rRNA from 1 species
UACAGAGGGUGCAAGCGUUAAUCGGAAUUACUGGGCGUAAAGCGUGCGUAGACGGUUAUGUAAGUCGGGUGUGAAAGCCCCGGGCUCAACCUGGGAAUGCCAUUCGAGACUGCAUAGCUAAGGUGCGGAAGAGGGAAGCGGAAUUUCCGGUGUAGCGGUGAAAUGCGUAGAUAUCUGGAGGAACACCGGUGGCGAAGGCGGCAUCCUGGACCGGUAUUGACGCUGAGGCGCGAAAGCCAGGGGAGCAAACGGG